rnacentral:rRNA from 1 species
AAGACUGGGAUAACUCCGGGAAACCGGGGCUAAUACCGGAUGCUUGAUUGAACCGCAUGGUUCCAAUCAUAAAAGGUGGCUUUUAGCUACCACUUACAGAUGGACCCGCGGCGCAAUAGCUAGUUGGUGAGGUAACGGCUCACCAAGGCGACGAUGCGUAGCCCACCUGAGAGGGUGAUCGGCCACACUGGGACUGAGACACGGCCCAGACUCCUACGGGAGGCAGCAGUAGGGAAUCUUCCGCAAUGGACGAAAGUCUGACGGAGCAACGCCCCGUGAGUGAUGAAGGUUUUCGGAUCGUAAAACUCUGUUGUUAGGGAAGAACAAGUACCGUUCGAAUAGGGCGGCACCUUGACGGUACCUAACCAGAAAGCCACGGCUAACUACGUGCCAGCAGCCGCGGUAAUACGUAGGUGGCAAGCGUUGUCCGGAAUUAUUGGGCGUAAAGCGCGCGCAGGCGGUUUCUUAAGUCUGAUGUGAAAGCCCCCGGCUCAACCGGGGAGGGUCAUUGGAAACUGGGGAACUUGAGUGCAGAAAAAGAAAGUGGAAUUCCACGUGUAGCGGUGAAAUGCGUAGAGAUGUGGAGGAACACCAGUGGCGAAGGCGACUCUCUGGUCUGUAACUGACGCUGAGGCGCGAAAGCGUGGGGAGCGAACAGGAUUAGAUACCCUGGUAGUCCACGCCGUAAACGAUGAGUGCUAAGUGUUAGAGGGUUUCCGCCCUUUAGUGCUGCAGCAAACGCAUUAAGCACUCCGCCUGGGGAGUACGGUCGCAAGACUGAAACUCAAAGGAAUUGACGGGGGCCCGCACAAGCGGUGGAGCAUGUGGUUUAAUUCGAAGCAACGCGAAGAACCUUACCAGGUCUUGACAUCCUCUGACAACCCUAGAGAUAGGGCUUCCCCUUCGGGGGCAGAGUGACAGGUGGUGCAUGGUUGUCGUCAGCUCGUGUCGUGAGAUGUUGGGUUAAGUCCCGCAACGAGCGCAACCCUUGAUCUUAGUUGCCAGCAUUCAGUUGGGCACUCUAAGGUGACUGCCGGUGACAAACCGGAGGAAGGUGGGGAUGACGUCAAAUCAUCAUGCCCCUUAUGACCUGGGCUACACACGUGCUACAAUGGGCAGAACAAAGGGCAGCGAAGCCGCGAGGCUAAGCCAAUCCCACAAAUCUGUUCUCAGUUCGGAUCGCAGUCUGCAACUCGACUGCGUGAAGCUGGAAUCGCUAGUAAUCGCGGAUCAGCAUGCCGCGGUGAAUACGUUCCC